AGUGAACGCUGGCGGUAGGCCUAACACAUGCAAGUCGAACGGCAGCACAGUAAGAGCUUGCUCUUACGGGUGGCGAGUGGCGGACGGGUGAGGAAUAUAUCGGAAUCUACUUUUUCGUGGGGGAUAACGUAGGGAAACUUACGCUAAUACCGCAUACGACCUACGGGUGAAAGCAGGGGAUCUUCGGACCUUGCGCGAGUGGAUGGGCCGGUGUCGGAUUAGCUAGUUGGCGGGGUAGUGGCCAACCAAGGCUCCGAUCGGUAGCUGGUCUGAGAGGAUGACCGGCAACAUUGGGACUGAGAUACGGCCCAGACUCCUACGGGAGGCAGCAGUGGGGAAUAUUGCACAAUGGGCGGAGGCGUGAUGAAGAAACGCUGCGUGCGGGAUGACGGCCUUCGGGUUGUAAAAAGCUUUCGACUGUGACGAAGCGUGAGUGACGGUAAUGGGUAAAGAAGCACCGGCUAACUACGUG
rnacentral:rRNA from 1 species